rnacentral:misc_RNA from 1 species
AAGUCGUAACAAGGUUUCCGUAGGUGAACCUGCGGAAGGAUCAUUAUUGAAAAUGAAACUUUGGCUUAGGCUGUCGCUGACUCUUAGGAGUAUGUGCACGUCUAGCUAUCAUUUUUUUUCACCACAUGUGCACUUUUUGUAGACUUGAAUUAUAGAGGACGCUUUGUAACUCUAGUCUAUGUUUAAACAAAUUUAUAUAACCCUUUAUGAAUGUAAUAGAAUGAUGAUGAUAUUAUUAUAAUAAUACAACUUUCAACAACGGAUCUCUUGGCUCUC